rnacentral:rRNA from 1 species
AUGGCAACACAGAAGCUAGCCAUCUCCGUGGCCAUUUCGGCUGCGGUCCUGGUCGCCGCGCUCGCCCAGAACUCCCCGGAGGACUACGUCGGGCUCCACAACGCGGCGCGCAGUGCGGCCGGCGCGCGACCGGUGGCGUGGGACGACGAGAUGGCGCGGGAAGCAGGGAAGCGCACUGAGCGCGGCUGUGGGCUACGUAGCCCGGACGGCGCCGGCUACGUCAACGUACCCGGCCACCACAGGUAUGGCGAGAAUCUCUUCCAGUUCCAUGGCUCGCCGGAAAAGGCAUGGAACGCGGGGGAUGCUUUGGAUGCGUGGACGGCGCCGGCGGCGAGGGAGUACGUUCAGGUCGUGUGGCCGGACUCAACCAAGAUCGGCUGCGCACGUGCCAUCUGCGACCACGGUCGCGGCGUCUUCAUAAGUUGCAACUACGAGCCUGCUGUGAAUGAGAACUUCGGAAGGGCGGCACUUCCUUACAUGUGUAGGUUCAACAUUAGUCGUUGCUUCAAUUGUACCAUAUGCUAG